rnacentral:rRNA from 1 species
UGAGUGCUAAGUGUUGGAGGGUUUCCGCCCUUCAGUGCUGCAGCUAACGCAUUAAGCACUCCGCCUGGGGAGUACGGUCGCAAGACUGAAACUCAAAGGAAUUGACGGGGGCCCGCACAAGCGGUGGAGCAUGUGGUUUAAUUCGAAGCAACGCGAAGAACCUUACCAGGUCUUGACAUCUCCUGACCGCCUUGGAGACAGGGUCUUCCCUUCGGGGACAGGAUGACAGGUGGUGCAUGGCUGUCGUCAG